AGGAAGCCACAUGCUGUGAUGGGGUGACGAUGGAGGUACAAAGACAAGGCCCUUUAAAGAAAUAUAACCCUGUUCCGAUCUUUUGAAGCUGUUUUCCCUUUACAUCAGUCGUUGCGUUGGUAUAAAUAAACGUUGGCGAUCUUCCACCGAACCAACGCUCGGGACCACGAUCACUAAACAGUCACUUGGCUCAUCAACAAAUCUCUCUUUUUCUGUGAAUUCAUCCGCAGACCACAAACAUCAUGAAGUCCACAGUGAUCGUUAUGGUGGCCAUCUGUUUCGUUGCCCUAACAUUCAAUGCUGUUGAGAGCUGUUGUCAUCACCGGCAUAGUCAUCACCGUCACAGCAGCAGCAGCAGCAGUAGCGGCUUGGGCUCAAGCAAGUUCAAGAGUUUCUUUCCCUCAAGUUUCUCUUCGUCUGGACUCAGUUCCUUUGGUGGUUUCGGAUCCUUCGGGUCCUUUGGAAGGAAAUGAAAGACUGCACAACACAAGAAGCAUUUAGAAUGGAUAACGAAUAUGUCAGUGAAAUCACCAACGAGUAAUAAAAAUGUUGACACAUAGCAAUCCUUUCCUAAUUCCUUAUGUGUGAGUGAUAUGAGAAUAAAUAUUGGCUUCAUACGUGGUGACUGUCGGAAGAACUGAACUUCAACGUGACGAGCAAACCCCUUCACCACUUAGUGAACCCACGUGAAAUAACCAACGAGUAAUAAAACUGUAGACACAUCGCAAA